rnacentral:rRNA from 1 species
UACGUAGGGUGCAAGCGUUAAUCGGAAUUACUGGGCGUAAAGGGCGCGUAGGCGGCCUGUUAAGUCGAACGUGAAAUCCCCGGGCUCAACCCGGGAACUGCGUCCGAUACUGGCAGGCUUGAAUCCGGGAGAGGGAUGCGGGAUUCCAGGUGUAGCGGUGAAAUGCGUAGAUAUCUGGAGGAACACCGGUGGCGAAGGCGGCAUCCUGGACCGGCAUUGACGCUGAGGCGCGAAAGCCAGGGGAGCAAACGGG